rnacentral:rRNA from 1 species
AGUGAACGCUGGCGGCGUGCUUAACACAUGCAAGUCGAACGAGAACGGAAUAUAGCUUGCUAUAUUUGUCAGCUAAGUGGCGCACGGGUGAGUAAUGUAUAGAUAACCUGCCCUUAAGAAAGGAAUAACAGUUGGAAACGACUGCUAAUGCCCUAUAUGCCUUUAAUACAUAAGUAUGCAAGGGAAACGCUUUAGUGCUUAAGGAUGGGUCUGUAUGGUAUCAGCUUGUUGGUGAGGUAAUGGCUCACCAAGGCUAUGACGCCUAACUGGUUUGAGAGGAUGAUCAGUCACACUGGAACUGAGACACGGUCCAGACUCCUACGGGAGGCAGUAGUGGGGAAUAUUGCACAAUGGACGAAGGUCUGAUGCAGCAACGCCGCGUGGAGGAUGACACAUUUCGGUGCGUAAACUCCUUUUAUAUAGGAAGAUAAUGACGGUACUAUAUGAAUAAGCACCGGCUAACUCCGUGCCAGCAGCCGCAGUAA